rnacentral:rRNA from 1 species
UACGUAGGGGGCUAGCGUUAUCCGGAAUUACUGGGCGUAAAGGGUGCGUAGGUGGUUUUUUAAGUCAGAAGUGAAAGGCUACGGCUCAACCGUAGUAAGCUUUUGAAACUGAGAAACUUGAGUGCAGGAGAGGAGAGUAGAAUUCCUAGUGUAGCGGUGAAAUGCGUAGAUAUUAGGAGGAAUACCUAUGGCGAAGGCAGCUCUCUGGGACGGUACUGACGCUGAGACGCGAAAGCGUGGGGAGCGAACAGG